GCGGGAAGCUGUUAUGUGCCAGUAUGCUGGGGUAGGCUUGACAACUCAAAAUUUUCUAUUUGUACUUACGAAGCAGCAGUAUUUGACAGAAAAGAAUAAUACUUUGAUGCUCUUCUCACGCCUACAAGCGAGGGCGGCGUGAUUAACAACACAGCGUAAUGCGCAACGGUGAACGCCAACGAACUGCGUGCCGCCACCAACCUGGACGAAGCAUUUUGGACUGAAGCUGUCUUGAUAUCUACAAUACAUUGGACACUACAUGCAGGAUUAUGAAUGGAUACCUGAACACUGCUUGAAGGAGCAAGCUCUACAGCAUCACUUAUGCUCCUUUCCAUGGGUUGGCAAGAGGAACCGUGGCACGCAACUCUACAGGCACCUGUGCUCUUCACUACCUUCGGAGGAGAGAUGCAUUGAAUGCUCCCUAUCAUGCACUGCCAUCUCAACAGUACCAUGGCUUUUUGUGUGGAUUCCUUCCCUUUUGAAGGCCACCACUGUUUGCACAGCAUCACAGCCUGCCUGCCUUGAUCUUGCGGAAGAAGAAAAUACAAAAUGCCUAUUUUUUGAAAUGCAUGCAUGGCUUCAUGCAACACCACCUGUCGUCGGGGUGUUAAGGCUUUUUGCAGAGAAAAUGUAAUGACACCUUAUGUGUGCCCUGGUGGCAAAGUGUUUGCCUCUUUGCCUGUGUAAAAAUUUCACACUUAUGGAUACUGUUAAAGGUUCCUGUAUCAUAUUUUCUUUCACAUCCUAAGAAAUUUUUGUUUCAUUAUAAAACUAAAAAUUAUAGUUGAAUUGCUGCUUUGUGUGAUAUGCAAUAUUCAGCUGAAGGUGAUCAGCAGAGGUCGAACAAGUGUUAUGUCAGGUGGAGAAAUUUUUUUGAGAAGUGGACUUCUUCGUUAGGGUAACAACCGUUUUCCUUGGCAGUAUUUAUAUAGUUCACUUUUCUCCACUCCAUGGAUAUCCAGCAAAAUGAGUGAGUGCAUAGAGAAGGUGAGGUAAGUUUAAAUGCUCACCAUGGGGGUUUAGUUGGGGUAGCAAGGUGUGUAGAAGUAUGGGAGUUUGGCAGGUUGCU